UAAAUCCUGAGGCAUGCGAGUGGUAACCUUUAAAUUCAACCGACAUGCAUUAUACGGGAGAUCGGGUCUCAUGAGACUAGAAUACUUCUAUAUUUAUAUAGAGAAAUUUGAAAUUAUGGGCAGGUCACCCACCUGGGAGAUUCUCGGGUAUGAAUUUAUAGGACCUACGGUGCUUUGGGAAUAAA
rnacentral:other from 1 species